rnacentral:misc_RNA from 1 species
UGGCUCUGGCAUCGAUGAAGAACGCAGCGAAAUGCGAUAAGUAAUGUGAAUUGCAGAAUUCAGUGAAUCAUCGAAUCUUUGAACGCACAUUGCGCCCGCUGGUAUUCCGGCGGGCAUGCCUGUCCGAGCGUCAUUUCAACACUCAGGCCCCCCGUUCGCGGGACGGGCCUGGCGUUGGGGCUCAGCGGCCCGCUCCGGCGGCCCCUGUCCCCUAAAUACAGUGGCGGUCGCGCCGCAGCCUCCCCUGCGUAGUAGCACACCUCGCAUCGGAGAGCGGCUCGGCCACGCCGUGAAACACCCCAUUUCUCAAGGUUGACCUCGGAUCAGGUAGGAAUACCCGCUGA